rnacentral:lncRNA from 1 species
GUUUUCUCGAAGGGCCAGAUUGCCUUGGACAGUCUGUCCGCUGGGGUUGGAGGAGUUUGGCUGCCAGAUAGAUUCUCGGAUGGGGCAGCCUAGCAGAGUGUGUGUAAAACCCUUCCACCGUCAAGAGGGGAUCCAGGCAGCCUGCGUCCUGCCCGCUCCGGGGAGCGGAGGCGGGUGUUAGUGGUUAGAGGAAACUUUCCAGCAGAGCGCCUUGCUAGAGCAAACGGCGCAUCUGUCAGGAACGCUCUCUGGGCACUGUUCUUGCAAGGAGCUUCUGUUGUUCCAGUGCAGUAGAUGCAGAAAGGAAGCGAAGCAGACCUGGCACAAAGCAUCUCAGAAGGGUCUUGUGGCUGGGAGAAGAAAUGGAACACAGCCACACCGGAGCACCACCGCUCCACCUCUCCAGGACAGGAGGCGUUUUGUAGUCAGUGGAAGACAUGAAUGUCCCUCAUUACUCUUUUUGUAUGUGUGAGGGUGAUUUUGGGGGAAAAUACACAACCCAGGAGACAUCCAGACAGGGAGGCUGUUCUCACUGGCGACAUUUGUGCCGCAUUCUUCCUUGCUCCUGGUGUGCAUUGCAACACUCAGACGGGUGGCUCUGGGAGCCAAGUGGCUGAUUGGAAUCCCCAGGAGGCAGCAAAUACAAAUUAAUCUUCAGGCCCACCAGUUCCCCUGAAACAUACCACUUGUUAAACUAUGACUUCCAAGCCAAGAGCAGCAAUUUUCCACAGUUCAAGUCUGGAAAAGGCUAUGAAACCACAUGGGUCAGGAGACCAAAGAUGGUUUAUUGCUAUUUUGAAUGGAGCACCAGAAGGACAACUCCAAAAUUCCAGAUGUGCAGCAGCUGGAUAAAGUGGUGUCCACAAAUAUGUGUCGCAGCUUUAGAAAGGCAACUGCUGGAGGCUUUUAAAAACAGACCAUUGACUUCCUUCUCUUUUCUUUCCUUUUUUUUAAAAAAAAAAAAAAAGCUUAUCUGAACCUCUGGACUUACUUGUUU